rnacentral:rRNA from 1 species
AGUGAACGCUGGCGGUAGGCCUAACACAUGCAAGUCGAACGGCAGCACAGUAAGAGCUUGCUCUUACGGGUGGCGAGUGGUGGACGGGUGAGGAAUACAUCGGAAUCUACUUUUUCGUGGGGGAUAACGUAGGGAAACUUACGCUAAUACCGCAUACGACCUACGGGUGAAAGCAGGGGAUCUUCGUACCUUGCGCGAUUGAAUGAGCCGAUGUCGGAUUAGCUAGUUGGCGGGGUAAAGGCCCACCAAGGCGACGAUACGUAGCUGGUCUGAGAGGAUGAUCAGCCACACUGGAACUGAGACACGGUCCAGACUCCUACGGGAGGCAGCAGUGGGGAAUAUUGGACAAUGGGCGCAAGCCUGAUCCAGCCAUACCGCGUGGGUGAAGAAGGCCUUCGGGUUGUAAAGCCCUUUUGUUGGGAAAGAAAAGCAGCAGGUCAAUACCCCGAUGUUCUGACGGUACCCAAAGAAUAAGCACCGGCUAACUUCGUG